GAUGAACGCUGGCGGCGUGCCUAAUACAUGCAAGUCGAGCGAACGGACGAGAAGCUUGCUUCUCUGAUGUUAGCGGCGGACGGGUGAGUAACACGUGGAUAACCUACCUAUAAGACUGGGAUAACUUCGGGAAACCGUAGCUAAUACCGGAUAAUAUUUUGAACCGCAUGGUUCAAAAGUGAAAGACGGUCUUGCUGUCACUUAUAGAUGGAUCCGCGCUGCAUUAGCUAGUUGGUAAGGUAACGGCUUACCAAGGCAACGAUGCAUAGCCGACCUGAGAGGGUGAUCGGCCACACUGGAACUGAGACACGGUCCAGAGUCCUACGGGAGGCAGCAGUAGGGAAGCUUCCGCAAUGGGCGAAAGCCUGACGGAGCAACGCCGCGUGAGUGAUGAAGGUCUUCGGAUCGUAAAACUCUGUUAUUAGCGAAGAACAUAUGUGUAAGUAACUGUGCACAUCUUGACGGUACCUAAUCAGAAAGCCACGGCUAACUACGUG
rnacentral:rRNA from 1 species